CCUGUUGUGGUGGCUGCACCGGCGGGUACCCAUACCCCUGUUGAGGAGGAUAGCCACCGUACCCUGGAGGUGGAGGAGGGUAACCACCGUAACUCGGUUGUUGUUGAUAUGGGUAUCCAGCCUGUUGUUGAGGGUAUCCAGUCUGUGGUUGAGGGUAUCCGGCAGGAGGCGGAUAAUACGCACCUCCUGCUGGUGGGUAUCCGGUAGCACCACCGGGUGGUGGGUACGGUCCGGAAGCGGCGGCGGCGGGUGGUGGGUAAGAUCCCGGACCAGCAGCAGAUGGCGCCGCAUAAGGCGGUGGAUACAUCGAACUAGAUCCAGAAGCAACCGCAGGGUAUGCUGUAACAGCGUCGUCCCCCUUAUUAGGCUUCGCUCCGGGAUAACUUGGAUAAGCGGUAAAAGGCUCAUCCACCUUGUUAGGCUU
rnacentral:lncRNA from 1 species